AAAAUAAUUUGACAUACAACUGAACACAUAUCUUCACACAGAAAUAUUAAAAAUGGAGCAACACGACAACAAUAAAAAUUGUACUUAGACAGGAUACGUGAUUCAUGCUUUCCUAGUGCAGCUAUCGGGAUGGAAUGGUUAUAAGUAAAACUCCGUUUAAAAUUCGUAUUCAAUAAUAUGUCACAAUGGAUGACAGGUCAUGAUAUUGCCAC
rnacentral:lncRNA from 1 species